UAUGCAGCUUGAUGAAUGGUGGGAACAACCGGCAUCAACUGUCGUUGAUUGGAUUAGUGUUGAUGGGCAAAAUGUUGCUGCUUGGCAUAAUCAUGUAAAACAGCUUCUUGCAUUUUAUGAUAAAGAGCUUCUGUGAAUAAAAGCUUUUGAAAACUCAGAUCAUUGAGAUACAUACAGAUGGGAGGACACAUGGCAUCAACUGAGGAUACAUGUUACAAUUUGGUUUUGGUAAAGAAGGACCGAUUAAGAAAUCAGGUAAGAAAUCUGUUUAUAUGACAGCAUUAUGACUUUAUGAUUGAGGCCUGUGCAGCCACACCUUUUUUUUCUUCCCCUCUUUGUUGAUUUUGUAUAGAUGGAUCCAUUCUUUGUAGAAUCUUUUUGUAUAAUAGGUGAUUGAUUAGUUGCAAGAUUAUUAUGUAAUGUGAAGCUUGAUUCGUGCCAUUAAAGAGGCACUGUGAUUUUAACUGUAGAGAGAUUUGUGUUUGUACCUUGUUCCUAUUCUGUGU